GCGCAGGAAGAAGGAGCAGAAGGUGCGGGGAGGAGAGCGGGGGGCGCCGGCGGCGAGCCCGCGUGGAGGCGGCACUUCGCGAAGUGGCACUUCGGGGCGGGCGGCUGUCCCGCCGGGUCACGGCCUGGCGCUGCGGGGAGGGGACCCGAGCGGCUCGGACGCAGGACGCCCCGGGCCGGGUUUACAGGUGGGAGAGGCCCCCGACCCCACCGCUUCGCCGAUACUCCGUGCUUGCGUGUGCCCUACAGCAGCACAGUUCAGUAGGCAGAAGCCACUUCUACUACCUGGCUAAGGAAAACAUGGACAGAUCCUGCUCUGGAUGACGCCGCGUUCCAGCCGGCAGAGAGGGUCCCCCAUUUCUUCGGAACUAAUCCUCCAGGAAAUUAACAGAGAGCUGCUGUUGGAAACUGGAGCCCUCCCCUUCCUCAGCCCUGAGCGAGGUAAACAAUUCUGCUCUGCCUUCCGGAGGUUUCUAAUGAGCUCUUCGACCAGCAUCUUCACACAGCUUCCAGUCCUGCCACAGUCUUGAAGAAGAGAUCAGCUUUCAAGUCGUCAUUCUUGUCAAGAUUAGAUGCCCCUCGAAUCUCCCAUGUGUCAUUAAUCCCAGCACGAACAAGCACUCGGGAACUGCGGGCUGCAGAUGGUCCGCUUAUCCUGCAAAACCCUCCUCUUUUGGGGCUUAACCCCUUUAGUCUUUGUUGCUUCUGCAGCUUUCUGAUGCCAUUAAAGAGAUGAUUUUUAUA